GGGCCCGCACAAGCGGUGGAGUAUGUGGUUUAAUUCGAUGCAACGCGAAGAACCUUACCAGGGUUUGACAUCCUGCGAAUCUCUUGGAAACAGGAGAGUGCCUUCGGGAACGCAGUGACAGGUGGUGCAUGGCUGUCGUCAGCUCGUGUCGUGAGAUGUUGGGUUAAGUCCCGCAACGAGCGCAACCCACGUCUUUAGUUGCCAGCAUUUAGUUGGGCACUCUAGAGAGACUGCCGGUGAUAAACCGGAGGAAGGUGUGGAUGACGUCAAGUCAUCAUGCCCCUUACAUCCUGGGCUACACACGUACUACAAUGCUACGGACAAAGGGCAGCAAGUUCGCGAGGACAAGCAAAUCCCAUAAACCGUGGCUCAGUUCGGAUUGGAGUCUGCAACUCGACUCCAUGAAGUUGGAAUCGCUAGUAAUCG
rnacentral:rRNA from 1 species